UGCCUAGCGAAGGUCUGCCUAUGUUGACUAUGUCGUUACCCCCAAAGUGCUUUGUUUUUGACGGCCCAGUUCUUCAUCCCCUUUGCUCUUUGUACCAAGUUGGACUUGGCAAGCUUGAAAUGAUUGUUAGUCAUACUGAAGAGAACGUCAAACGGAUUUUAAACAUUAGGCCAGUCCUGGCCUGACAACAAGUUAGAUAUUUUAACACUUUUGCCGAAUGAAAGCUUAGAUAAACCUUCUGGAUGAUAGUUAACCAGAGUUUAAUCUUCUUCCUCUUCAAACAAGUUUCCCAGCUGUUAAUGAAUCGACGGUCAAUUCCGGGUGCGUAGCGGGUUUUCGCCACCUAACAUCCCAUCUCCGAGAACCGCUGAUGCCACCCGAGAAAGCACCUCACGAACAUACUGCAUCCAUGUCUGUGCCCAAGUCACAAUGCACCGCUGAAAUAGCCCGGCCAGGCCCGAGCACUGAGGAAAUACCUGCAGAAGGGGUCCCCCACGUGGUUGUUCAAAGUGACAGGAGCUGCCGAAUCCAGAACAGUCUAAAGAGAUUUUCUCGACCACUCAGCCGACCAAUGUCAGAAAAGAGCACCAUUCAAAGCUAUAGGCAGUUGGGGACAAAUUCUGAAUUCUCUCCUGAUCGGCACUGUCCAAGAAGCAUCACGUUUGCACAGCAGGAAGCAGAUCCUCUCUGAAAUCAACCAAAUACGUUUUGCGAAAAAUCGAAAGACUCGCCUCAGAACAUCACUCACUUCAGGCAGCAAGCAACAGCAAAAGAGAUUGUGUUUGUUUGUUUGUUUGUUGAUCGUUCAGGAAAAAAAAAAAAAAA
rnacentral:misc_RNA from 1 species